GAUGAACGCUGACAGAAUGCUUAACCCAUCAGCAAUUGAUUGGUGGCGGACGGGUGAGUAACGCGUAUAUAACUUGCCUCACAUCUAGGGCCAACAUUUGGAAACGAAUGCUAAUACCUAAUACUGUGAGAGAUCUUUGCAUCCCAUUAGCUAGUUGGAGAGGUACCGGCGCACCAAGGCGAUGAUGGGUAGCCGGACUGAGAGGGUGAUCGGCCACAAGGGGACUGAGACACGGCCAGUAGUCCUACGGGAGGCAGCAGUGGGGAAUAUUGGACAAUGGACCAAAGUCUGAUCCAGCAAUUCUGUGUGCACGAUGAAGUUUUCGGAAUGUAAAGUGCUUUCAGUUGGGAAGCGGUACCAACAGAAGAAGUGACGGCUAAAUCCGUGCCAGCAGCCGCGGUAAUUC
rnacentral:rRNA from 1 species